AGAGAGAGAGGGGAAAAAAAGUGCUGGAAAGCUGACAUUGAAGUUUUGAGUUCUGCAUGAUAAAGGCCCCAGAGUCCGGAUUAGAUGGAAAAACUACGGAGGGUGGCAACAGUAAUGCCAUUUAAACAGUAAAUUUGCCCACGGCUUUUUGGAAGGCCUUCCCCUGCUGCUGUAUCCAAUCCUGCUGCAGUGGGUAAUGUUUGGCCCCCCUUUGAGCAUGUACUGUGAUUGGAGCCAUGCCCUAGGUCAUUUCAAUCCCUGAGAGAGGAAGUACAAGAAGCAAUGUUUGCUCUUCAUUCAACAUGCAGUAAUACACAGUUUUGUUGAUACCAUGUAAGAAGAUGAAGAAUGUUCAUUGCACACAAAUGCAGUUUUUAGCCUGAUGGAUUGCAGAUCAAAAGGUUAAAGAGAGAAUUUAUUAAGAAUGA